CCCUCCUGUAAAGAAGUUUUUCCUGAUAUCCAAACUAAACCUCCCCUGGUGCAACUUGGGGCGAUUUGGGGCUGUAUAUAACACCAACACUCGCAGAGGUCACUCCUGCUUGUCUUUUAUUAAAGCAAACACACACAAAACACCCACCCACACAACCUCACUUGGGCUUUUAGGUGCUGUUAGAGCAUCAGCUUCACAGCACAUGGGGCCUUCCUCUUGCGGUCCAACUUUAUAUAUACCAAGACACGGUGGCAGCUGAUGGUCAAGUCACUUUUCACAUCUCCCUCUUCGCUGUUACAUAUGUUCAGUGUGGGCAGAGCCAAUCAGGUGUCUGGAGACGUCACCACUUUCUGUGACACGAUAUAUACGGUAGGAUGAGUUUGACCUUGCAAAUCUUUUUUUAUUUCUAUCUAUCUCCUUGCAUAUUUGCCCAUGAAGCACAGUUCCCAUGCAUUCAGAAGCAACAAGAAAUAGAAACAAAUGAUUCUGUGAGAUAGUUACACACAGGGAAAGACUUAAGAGAGAGCACCACUGAAGAUAUGCAGAACUUCUGAAGCUUUCUCUUAAGGUUAUCAUUACCUAGAACAUCAAUUUAAGUUCUUCAUGCUUCUUGACAUGGAACAACCAGCAGCAUUCCUUGCUUCAGAAGAAACGUCUUUGCCAUUGGCACAUCUGCUUUUACUCUUACACUGAAGAAUGUGUUGUGAUCACUACUGGAGAUGCGUCAACAACCAUUGGUUCCUAAAUAGUAACAUCUCCUACCCUGCCUGAUUACAGUCAGCUAUCUCUGUUUUAUGGGCCUUACUGACUCCGGCUGGACCGGCAAACAUAACACUGAAAACAUUCCCCUUUACUAAAGAAGGGUCCAAAAACUUCUUUUAAAGAGUAAUCUUCCUUUUGAACAAAGAUGGCAACUCUUUGAAGCUACCUGAUAACCCUCUUUGUGACUCUAAGACAUUUAAUUUUCCCAAAACCUAGAUUUAAAAUAAAUCCUGUUAUAUACUACAAACAUCAACCAAUAUAAUCAGAACCCAAAUAAAAUACAUUCUCUGUGUAUUUCACCCCCCAGCAAGUGCUGUCAAAGCUAAGACAAUAACAUUAUGCUUAAUUUGCCAAUAAUUAAUACAGAGACACCAUAAAAUGUGCUUAAUCCUCAAAGAAAUUCAGUUGCUUGACUCCAGAUUUCAAAGAAAAGCAUGCAAAUGCAGCAAUAAAAUGCAUUCCAUUUAAUCAACUAAACACAUAACAGACCAAUUCACAUUGUUUUAUGGCAUCAAAUAACAGAUUCUAAUGUGAUUCCAUGUGGGAGAAAAGAGGGAGGUUGCUGUAGUACUAGAACAGGUCACAGACAGAUGAUUUCUUAAUGAAAUGGUAAAGGCUUCCAAAAUUUACCUCUCAUAAUAUAUUUACCUCUCAAAUAAAAACUUCCCCGCCCUAUUAUGUCUUUAACCGUAAGAAAGACUGUAAAGGUCAGCAAAAUACGCCAGUUUUAACUGGCUUAAAUGUAGAAAAUGCAGAUUUCUUAUUUUAAAGUGAAUAAAGUCCGUAUUAUUUGUUUGUAUCUCACUAUGUUAUCCCUGCAUCAGCUACACUAUAACGUUGCCUGGAAGGAUUUUGAAAAAUAGCAUGACAAACCUUUUGGAAGCAGAGCUGCAAACGGUCAUCCAGCAAAGUCUAUCAGAGCUAACAGAAAAUGGCCACUUUCUGCUUUAUUCAGAAAACAGAAGGAAAGGAACCAAACAAACCUGUGUUAAUACAUAAAAUGAAGUACAGCUCAGAAACAUUAAGGCAUUUUUACACUGCAGAUAUCUGAAAGAAUAAAUGCUGUUCUAGAUAAUGCACUGCGAUAUGGGUUGGAAAACAUAUGGAAUGGGAAGGGAAAAAAAAAAGAGAUGUUGACUCAUGCAAUUUGGUGGCAGCAAAAAGCUGCAAAUGUUCAGAAAAGGCUUUAGUUCCAUCAAAUAUCUCAAGUCCAAAAUUUCAAAUAUAUUUUCACUUUAUUUUAUGAAUGCCCAUCAGAUAUAUAUCUUUGAUGCUACAGCACACUGGUUAAAUAAAAACCAACAACAUAAAAACCCUUUUCAUAAAAGAUCCAAGAAGUGAAAUCCCAAAGCCAUAGCCAAUUACUCCAUGAGCAUAUCAUCUUUGACAACCAUAUAUAAAUGACAUCAUGACAACAAAUACAAUGUACAAUAGUAAGUGUGCCAUGGUACAAAAUAUACAAAAAAGAAUGCGUAUUUAAUAUACAUUCAACAAUACCCCAUAAAAAUCUUUGUCGGGAAAGUGAAGUGCCUUUUCAAGAAGAACAAAAAAUGUACACCACUUCUGUAAAGAUGCCUGAAGUAUCUCCCAUCAGAAGAGCAACGCCUGUGUUCCGUGACAGGAGAUAUAAAAUAACUGGGCUGAAUUUUCCCUAAAGAAACAAAAAAUCUAAACUUCAUAAAAUUUUUGUCCACGUUUGUAGCAGAAUAAAGUAUUCAGAGUGCAGAAAAUUCAAUUUAAUUUAAUUUUUACUUAAAAGCGGGCCCUCUUUUACAGAUACAGCUCAGUCAUAUAAAACCAAAAAAUCUAUAUUCCUUAUAAUAAAAAGACCAUUUCUGCCCAUGUGUCUCUUCGGGCUUUGAUGCAUUCCACAAUUCACAUAAUUUUACUGAAAUGGAAAUACAAGCCUGACCAGAGGUCAGGACAAAAUUGGUUCCUCAUUUUCUCUUGGCUGCAUACAAGUCUUGCAUAUUUUUUCUUAAAUAUUUUUUUUUUUUGCCUUAUUUUCAGACUCCUUCAAGUUUGACUUCAGUGAGAAUUCCAGGACAUGACCGGAGUGGGCUCUAUGAAGAACUCAUGCUUACAAAGUGGCUGUUUUCAUGAAGAAGUCCAUCUAGCUUCCAGUUCUCAAGGAACCACUUCGUGCCCCCCUUUCAAAGAAGGUACUUGUAUUGACAGUAGAAAACAUUUAGAUGCCGAGCUGCUUAAGUGCACAACCACACACUCAGCUCCCCUGGGCAUUCAUCCUCAUUCCUUGCCUGGGGCCAGGAACAGAUGCAGCUGAGUGUUUCUAAUAAGUCUAUCAGCUGAUAAAGCUGAUCCCUGAUCUCCAAAAGUGGAGAUUUCAUGCUUUAUUUCCACAGUUCAGAACUCACCUGAAGCUUGUUCCCCGUGCCAUUCACAACUCUGAUUUUAAGAGAACUCACAGGUAUGCUACUAAAGGACUACACACAACCUUUGCAGGAGGAUUCAGGUCUCUCUGAAAAUCAUUUCUUACGAAUAUGUAUAGAAGGAGAGAUAGGAGAUGAAAGGUACCUAUAAAUCACAUGGCAUGCCUAAGCAAUGCCCAGGUGAAUGCAAAAAAAUAACGUUAUUUGCAGUAUGUAUAUCUCUUCCUGAGUUAAAUUUCAUUCCCAGUAUGGAAUCCAAGCAUCUGUUUGUUUGGUUGUUGGUUUUUUUUUGGCAAGGUACUCAAUCACAUGAUAAGGCAAUCCAAUUUUCUGGUUUGCUUCCUGUCUUCUUUCCUCCUAAAUGGCUGAGCAUUUCUCACUGAGAUCACUACUGCAAUGUGUGCCAGAAUAUGUUUAAAAUAUGGUCCUGUAAAAAUAGAAAUCAGGUUUCUUUCUUUGAAGGCAGCAUUAAUUCUUCAUAUAUUCUGGGAUCUUGAAGAUUUCAGCUGAACAGAUUCAAAGUGAUCUUCUUUUUCCUGCAAUGGAAAAGACAGGUUCUCAUCAGCUGGGAUUCUCCAAAUUCACUCCACCAGUUGCUACAGUCACUUCUCUUAAUAACUUCAGAGUAGCCUUUCCCAAAGAUUUUGUUUCUACCACAGGAACGAAGAUCACAGUUUGAUUAUUGUUU
ensembl:lncRNA